CCUGUUUUGCAGCCGUCACCUUCUCUCCUCCAUAGCCACAGCCACCUUUCCCUCCGAGUGACGAGAUCAAACCCAACCGAACCACCGCCGCUUCCUCUUCCUCUCUUGACCGGUCUUUGCCCUUGGAACCGCUAGUUUUCGCCGGAAAACGUCCGAGAACGCGUCGGUUUUGGCAGAUUUUCCAAGCUUUCAAACUCACUCCUCCAACCACCAAAUCAGUCGAGUAAGGUAUGAAUCUUUACCUAUUUUUCAUUACUUAGCUACUGGUUGGGUAGGAUUGGAAUGAUUUUUAGCCUAGAUAGAUCAAAUCACGAGCCAAAGUUCCACCGAUUUUGAGUUUGAAAUUCCAGCUACUUCCGGCCAGUUUUUGGGGUAAGUCCAAGAACAAAAGUGGUUCCAAAUAAGGUGUUUUACCUAGGAUAGGAGUUUGGGCCAACGGUUUGGAGAUUUUCCGACCACCAGAAAUUUAUCAAGCCACCCAGGCGCUGCCGUCGCUUGUGGCGGAGCGUGGGCAGUUUAGUGGAGCUCACUUUCAGUCCUAGAAUGAUCCUCAUGUUGUCACGAGCAUGUAGGAAUUCGCGGAUCUCAAUUUGGAUACCGUUUGAACCUCGAACGGAUUUUUGCAUAUUGUGCGAUUUUCGGGUUCAAUAUUGUUGAGCCGUUGGAUCGUAAUCUUUUUCAGAUAUGUUACUCUAGACAAUUCCAGAAUCGUAUAGGAUUCGACGGAUCGUGAAUCGGUGUCCCGGAUACUCAGAAAUCACAAACCCUAGGGCCAGGGUUUAGAAAUCAUGCGAGUGUGCAAUCGUGAUCAAUUCGACCGUCCGAUCGAGAUCAAACCCUCGGGACAUGUGUCCUAGGUAUAUUCGAACUUCUAGAGGCUUUCGGAUCAUAUUGUGAGGCCGUGGACCUGCGGGGUCCCGGGUUGACUUUUUGGGACUUUAGCGCUUUUUGAAUCCCAAGAUACUGCUAAACUAUUCCAAGUGGAAGGAAAGCUUUUAUGGGCAUAGGAACAACUUUAAUCUGACGCACGUACGUCUAGGAGCCGGGGGUCAGGGUUUUUAACUUAAUACUAUAUUGAGUAUUGUAUUAAUAGAAUAUUAUGGUAAUUGAAUAAGGCACCCGGGCACCAGUUGACCCACAUGAGGGACCUUCAAGAGGUCCAGCGAGCACGGACCACCAGUGAGUUGACUCUUUGUUUUUAUAAAUAAAUUUAAGCAGUUCAGUUACAGUAUUUGAUCUUGAAUAAGUUUUAUUCAAGGAUUAGUGUUUUAUAAGCUGUUAUAUGCUUUUAAAUAUUUUGUUUUGCAUGUUGCCGAGUGAAAUUUCUUUUAAAGGAUAUAGGAAAAGAAAUUCUAGUGAAUUAUCCGAUUAUCAGAUAAAUGAUAGCAGAAUUUUAGAGUUUACAGAAAUUCAGUUAUUCAACAGAGUUUCUUCAGAAACUUUAUAUUUUCCUAAACCACCUUAGGUACCCAGAUAUACAACUGUUGCCUUCGGAUUUUAUUGGUUGCCUUUAGUUUAGUCAGCAUGCUUGACAGUUGCCCCAUGAGUUCUUUAGUACUCGAACUCGUGUGGAGCGAGUAGUGCGGAUCAGGCUGAAUACGGUCCCCUGAAUCCUGCUAGUUGCGGCUCGGGACUGACCUUGUGUCACUGAGACCUGCGAGUACGUGCCACCUUUGGUGAUGCGAGAAAUUGACGGAUAUUAGGAAUUGAUGGAAAUAAGGGAUACACCUAUGUGGUAGUUUUAAACUGUUUUCAAUGCCUUAAGAAAUUAAUGUUGACCAUGAGUAUGAUUGGCAUAUAUAUGUAUAAUUAUAUGAGUGCAUUGAUUUCAGUACGAAUAAAAUAAAGAGAAUAAUUUAGUUGUAUAACUGUUUUUACAGUGGGGUUAGUAUGUUCUUAUGUAUUUUCUAAACUUGUUUUUAGGUCCACUCACCCUUUCAAUGUUUUGCGUCCCCAAGCAGGAGGCGUGCACAGUGAUCCACCACCAGGCUGUUUUCCACCUUCCGUGAUUUCCUUUCUAAUGUAGGACUUUUUGUUUUGUAAAAGGAUUGACUUCUUUGUAAAUUCUUAGUAGUCGCUCUGAUAAUUUGCC
rnacentral:lncRNA from 1 species